ACAGCUUGAAAGCUGCGAGGCUCACUACACUCAGGGAUGUUCGCUGCAUCCGUUCUCGUGAGCGGGCUAAGGUCUGAGAUCUGAGUAUUCAAGUCUCCCUAGAUAGACUCUUGCAGGGUCCAGUGUUAAUCAUGCUGAGCAGCACACCAGAAAUGCAGCUGCAGUCUCAACUGAUCCAAAGGUCCUCUUUGGAGGGGAGGGCACGAGAUCGCGCGGCUUUGGGAUAUGCUGUGGGGGCUGGGUGGGCAUCUUCCCUUUCUGGCAUCGGCCAGUGCAUGUAGAUUCAGGCUAUCGCGCGUCCCUGUGCCGUCGCUGGCGCUCUGGAAAUGCGGAACAAAAUGAACACAUUUUGUUGAAAACCACGCGAGGGCCACGGCGCCCUCGCCCAAAGAAACGAUAGGAGAACCAAUCAUUUUUUACGAUGUGAAUCAUAAUUCGCACCGUGUGGUUGACCAGCGCUCUCAUCUCCAGGCCAAGACCUGUAUGAGGCAGUUUAUGUACAUGCAUUCGAUGCUAGGAUGUUCAUCCUUCAGUUCACUUCGCGGCUUGUGCAUUCUUUGAAUCCACAAAACUCGAUUCAGACUACUCUUUGGCUGU
rnacentral:RNase_P_RNA from 2 species